UCUUCAAAUUGUUUGAUUUUC
ensembl:piRNA 21ur-6128 ncRNA